ensembl:rRNA 5S_rRNA 5S ribosomal RNA
GUCAACAGCCUUACCAUCCUAAACACGCCUGAUCUCCGCCGAGUCCGAAGCUAAGAAGGGUUGGGCUUGGUUAGCAGUUGGAU